UCCUCGCGGUGCAUGUCUGUCUCAGGAGCCCCCCCAUGUUCAUCCCCAAGUCUCUGGGGGCCGCACUCAGGGAGACCGGAGCCACAGAACACAGGUUACCGGAUCGCGGCCGCCCGGCAAAGGAAGUGGAUUCCUCUGCCACAAGUUCGAGAGCACAACACGGGCCAGCACGCAGGACGGGGUCUGCGGUGUCGGGAACGGCCGUCCGUGCUCGUCAUCAGAAGGCCCAGCACGCCCACGGCCCGCGGCAUGGGGAAGCAGCGGGCCCGGCUCCACAUGCGCAGGGCAGGGGCCCAUGGCUGACGUUCCCUCAACAAUUACCUGCCUGUGCCUGCCGUGGGAUAUGCGCCGUGUUAGGUGUGAAUUGCGCCGUGGGGAAACAGGAGCGUGUGAUGCUGUGGGAACCGGAACAGAGCUGACCCCUGAACGACACGCUGCGGGCCGCGCAGCUUCCUUUAGUGUGAGGAUAGAGUACAUGAGACACACGACCUACAGAGUAAGUGACGACUGACUGUUACCAGUGAGGCCUCCGGUAGGCCAUUCGUCGUGGAGUCUUCGGGA